rnacentral:rRNA from 1 species
UACGAAGGGGCUAGCGUUGCUCGGAAUCACUGGCGUAAAGGGUGCGUAGGCGGGUCUUUAAGUCAGGGUGAAAUCCUGGAGCUCAACUCCAGAACUGCCUUUGAUACUGAAGAUCUUGAGUUCGGAGAGGUGAGUGGAACUGCGAGUGUAGAGGUGAAAUUCGUAGAUAUUCGCAAGAACACCAGUGGCGAAGGCGGCUCACUGGCCCGAUACUGACGCUGAGGCACGAAAGCGUGGGAGCAAACAGG